AUUCAUUAAUCAUCUUUACUUCAUUUGCUUCUUUGUAUCACCGAAUUAAUAUGAGGGAAUAAGAGAAAGAAAAUUGACCGAGAGAGAAAGAAAGAGAACCGAAGCUCCUUUGAUCUUCCGGCCUUGAUUUCUUGAAAUCCGUAAAUCCAAUAAAAAAUUUAAUUCGAUAAAAGUGUUCGUAUUCUUCUCUUCUACAUAUUGGCAUCAUUUUUGUUCGAUGGAGGCUGACGGUGACGUAGCUCUUCUUCCUCUUGAGUUCGGCUAACUAGAUUUUUAGGAGGCACAGAUGAUUUCUGACGCUUUCCUCUUCAGCAGCUCAGUCAAAAAGUUUUUCUAGAAUUUUCGUUGAUUUUAAUUUCAUACGGAGUGACACAGGUUCGAAGAUUCAGUUAGAAGAUGCAGACGACUAGUAGUUUUACUUGUGAUUCCUGUUAUUUUUAUAGAGUUCCCUCGCCCUUGUUGCUUUAAGUUUUAUUUUAUCCAGAGGGAUAGGUAUUGUAUUUGAGUUUUAUAUUAAAUUCAUUUGUAUAGCAUUUAUUACUAUUAAUAAUUGUGUGAUUUUAAUUA